rnacentral:rRNA from 1 species
CAGUAGCCGCGGUAAUACGAAGGGGGCUAGCGUUGCUCGGAAUUACUGGGCGUAAAGGGAGCGUAGGCGGACAUUUAAGUCAGGGGUGAAAUCCCAGAGCUCAACUCUGGAACUGCCUUUGAUACUGGGUGUCUUGAGUGUGAUAGAGGUAUGUGGAACUCCGAGUGUAGAGGUGAAAUUCGUAGAUAUUCGGAAGAACACCAGUGGCGAAGGCGACAUACUGGAUCAUUACUGACGCUGAGGCUCGAAAGCGUGGGGAGCAAACAGGAUUAGAUACCCCGGUAGUCCCUGUCUCUUAUAA